rnacentral:misc_RNA from 1 species
GAUCAACGGCUCAACUAAUCAUUUAUAUAAGCUCCGAAGAGUCCAGAUUUUGUUUUAUAGAAGCACUCGAGAAAAAUGGAAAACAAAACACUUGCAGAAGGAAAGGUUAGUCCUCCUCCCAAAAAUACCUGGAGCCACUGGUUCAUGUACUUCCAAUAUGACGAGGAGAACGAGAAGCCCAGUGAUGCCCGAAAUUUUUUGCUCGUGAUAGCGGCGCUAAUUGCUGCAGUGACCUUCCAAGCUG